UGAUGAAUGUGGUUAAAAUGGUAUUUGCAUUACAUUUUGAGUUUUCCUGUUGGCAUAGUCUGCUUAGGCGUUCUGUCAAGAGGGAGCUCCUCCAGGACAGAUGAUCAGACUGGGUGUCGCUGACCAAAAUAAUUGGGCCCACCCGAAGGAAGUUGACAUAGGCUUGGGUGCCGAGUCAGUCCUCAAGGUGAUGUGGGAACUUCCUAUCCCUUGAGGACCAAAGUAAGCACUUCCUCUCUUUCCGGCCCACAGAGACGAGGCUGGAUGUAUUCCUGCAUGGUUACCUCAGCCAAUUGUACCCUGAGCUUUGGGGUUUCUGUAAGAAGCUUCUUCUGUCCCAUGAGCAGGCAGCUGUCGAGAGAGGCUUCUCCAUCCACAAGGAGUUGGAAACCUGUAACAUGCAGGAGGGUAUAGGGCUGUGGCGGUCACAAAAUUGUCAGCCGGUGAUUUAUCAAGCAAAAAACUGCCGGUUUCACGGUACUUGACCGUUUACAUAAACACAUUUAGAAUCUCCUGGCUUCCCCACACAGCUUAGAAGACAUUUUAAAAAGUAUAAUAAAUCCAUGUAAUAUAGCCUACACCUUCACAAUGAAUACUUUGUUUAUUUUAGACAUGUCUAAAGAAGCAUGAUAUUGUGUUUAUUUCAGAAGAAAAGAAUAGCAUCCUCUGAGUUGUCCUUAUGUUGGGUCCUGAUCUAGCUAUGCCAAAUGGCUGUUGGCUACACUAGUUAAUUUAGCAGACAUGAUAUGCUUAUAAUACUCUGGUGUUAUUUUAUAGUAUGAAGAAUACACUUGAACAAAGCUGAAUAAAAAAUUUUCUCCAAAUGAUCUGAGGGAGUGCGGACAUGCGGCUAUUCUGUGUGGAGCGGUUAACAAAGAAAUAGGUACUCCUAUUUGCUUAGUUUAGAGUUAUUCUAGUAACUUUAGUUGUUCUACAAACGUUGACAACAUGUUUUUGUUUUUAAUGCAUUGUAAGGCUGCAUUAUCAAAAGUGACUGCAAAUGCAAUUAUGCAUGCUUUUAUUAUAAAGGUGCAUUUUUAUGGUGAAAAUGAUCUUCCCCAAAUUUGGAACUCACGCGUUGCUUAUAUAUAUAUAUGCCAGUUAGGCGCUACACCCCGUAUAAAGUGAAUUAAUGUGCUAAAUUUUAAGAAGUUAUUUGGCCAAUUUAGUUGUGAUACAAACCUUUAUUAAAACAUAUAGGCCUAUGGGCUAGGCUACAUCAGGUGUGCGACUAUGAUUCGAACAACUCGCUAAAAAAGGCAUAGUUUCUUAUGCUGGGCUUCAUAAUAUAUAAUUCACAAGUGAUGAGCUAAUAUUGUCACCCAUCAGACUAUUCUUGAUUUGAUCUUGUCUUUACAUAUAUUAUUUAGUAUAUGUGGGACAUUUUGUUAUGAUUUAGAAUGGACCAUUAUCAUGCAUCUGUAUAGAAACGUGCAGCGGGAAAAAAUACAUGUCAUCUACGCACUUAAAUAGUGAAUGGAGGACACUUUUCCCUGUGGAUUAUUUUCAUGCCAGCCAGGUAGGCUAUACUCCUGUUGUGAAUAUAAGCAAUGUGCUUAAUAUUAGGAAAGUUGAGAAAUAAAUAUAGUAGGCCUAGCCUAUAGAAGCUCAUUAGAUCCUCUUUUUUGUUAGCGGCCAUGUUUUCUCCCACUAUUGCCUAGCCUAUAGAAAUGUUGCGCAACAUGAGCUCAUGGUCUUUCAUGAAGUGUUUGAUUUGAUUUUCCAUUGAUGUCAGAGUGAUUACAGGGACAAUGGCGUGCUGAGUAUCAGGCAGUUAGCAAGUUUGAUGAGGCUACUAAUGACCAGCAGCAGCAUCAGCGCUUGGAGAAGCCUAAUAACCGUAACUAAACGGUCAUGUGGAAUUUGACUGCCUUCGUGACUCAUGACCGCAGGCUUGGCGGUAAUACGGUCACCGCACCAUCCCUAGGAGGGUACAAUCAUUACCCAGGGACUGGUGUGGGAUUAUGUCAGUCUGUGGUGGGGUUGUAAAGGUCCCUCUCACCAAGGAGCUACUGACCUCUGCUGGAUCAGCAAGGUCAAAAUACAGAGCACACCUGGACCAGGAGAAGAGGUAACGUGCUGUGUAAGGGCAGAAGAGAAAAGCUACAGAGGACAACAUAGAUGCGCUGUAGAGAAAAUAAAAGAAACUGCUGGAGGUUUCUGGCAGCCUGAUGAAGGAUGCAGACAAAUUUGCAGAGCAAGCAGAGGGAAAAUCUGGCACCUUGAUGGAUCCACUCAUCACGAAGUCCAGCACCCUCAGGAGGAGAUAUAAGAAGAAAAUAUUUGUAUUGAAACAAGUCGAGGUGGAGUUGGACAGUAAGAACUAAGACAAAUGUCAUGAUAAAUCAAAAUACAUUUAAUUUGUCACAUGCUCCAAAUACAGCAGUAGACCUUACAGUGAAAUGCUUACUUACAAUCCCUUAACCAACAAUGCCGUUUUGAGAAAAGUACCUAAAAGAAUAAGAAGGUAACAAAUAAUUAAAGAGCAGCAGUAAAAUAACAAUAGCGAGGAUAAAUACAGGGGUUACUGGUAGUCAAUGUGCGGGGGCACCGGUUUGUUGAUGUAAUUUGAGGUUUAUGUAUGUGUGUGUGUGUGUGUGUGUGUGUGUGUGUGUGUGUGUAUAUAUAUAUAUAUAUAUGUGUGUAUGUAUGUAUGUAUGUAUGUGUAUAUAUAUGUAUAUAUAUAUAUGUGUAUGUAUGUAUGUAUGUAUGUAUGUAUGUAUGUAUGUAUGUAUGUGUAUAUAUAUAUGUAUGUAUGUGUAUAUAUAUAUGUAUGUGUAUGUGUGGGUAGAAUUAUUUAAGUGACUUAUGCAUUUAUAAUAAGAGUAGCAGUAGUGUAAAGGGGGGGGGGCAAUGCAAGAGAUCUGGGUAGCCAUUUGAUUAGAUGUUCAGUAGUCUUAUGGCUUGGGGGUAGAAGCUGUUUGGAAGCCUCUUUGACCGAGACUUGGCGCUCCGGUACCGUUUUCCAUGUGGUAGCAGAGAGAACAGUCUAUGACGAGGGUGGCUGUUUGUAGGGCCUUCCUCUGACACCGCCUGGUAUAGAGGUCCUGGAUGGCAGGAAGCUUGGCCCCGGUGAUGUACUGGGCCGUACUCACUGCCCUCUGUAGUGCCUUGUGGUCGGAGGCCGAGCAGUUGCCAUACCAGGCAGUGAUGCAACCAGUCAGAAUGCUCUCGAUGGUGCAGCUGUAGAACCUUUUGAAGAUCUGAGGACCCAUGCCAAAUCUUUUCAGUCUCCUAAGGGGGAAUAGGUUUUGUAGUGCCCUCUUCACGACUGUCUUGUACCAUGUUAAUUUGUUAGUAAUGUGGACACCAAGGAACUUGAAGUUCUCAACCUGCUCCACUACAGCCCCGUCGAUGAGAAUGGGUCCACGAUCAUCUCCUUAGUCCCGAUCACGUCGAGGGGGAGGUUCUUGUCCUGGCACCACACGGCCAGGUCUCUGACCUCCUCCCUAUAUUAUGUCUCGUCGUUGUUGGUGAUCAGACACUGUUGUGUCAUAGGCAAACUUAAUGAGUGAACAGGGAGUACAGGAGGGGACUGAACACGGGGGUCCGUCAGGUGUGUGCUAAGGAUCAGCGUAGCGAGUAUGUUGUUACCUACCCUUACCACCUGGGGCCGACCCAUCAGGAAGUCCAGGAUCCAGUUGCAGAGGGAGGUGUUUAGUGUCAGGGUCCUUAGCUUAGUAAUGAGCUUUGAAGGCACUAUGGUGUUGAACUCUGAGCUGUAGUCAGUGAAUAGCCUUCUCACAUAGGUGUUUGUUUUGUCCUGGUGUGACAGGGCAGUGUGGAGUACAGUAGAGAUUGGAUCCGUUGGGGCGGUAUGCAAAUUGGUUUCUGGGAUAAUUGUGUUGAGGUUGAAAAUGUCAGUGAAGACACUUGCCAGUUGGUCAGCGCAUGCUUGAAGUACUCAUCCUGGUAAUCUGUCUGGCCCUGCGACCUUGUGAAUGUUGACCUGUUUAAAGGUCUUACUCACAUCGGCUGCGGAGAGUGUGAUCACACAGUCGUUCGGAACAGCUGCUGCUGUCAUGCAUGUUUCAGUGUUACUUGCCUCGAAGCGAACAGAGUAAUUUAGCUCAUCUGGUAGGCUUGUCACUAGGCAGCUCUCGGCUGUGCUUCCCUUUGUAGUCUGUAAUAGUUGGCAAGCCCUGCCUCAUCUGACGAGCGUUGGAGCCGGUGUAGUACGAUUCGACAGAGAGCCGAGAGCAAGUUGUUUCUUCCCUUCAUUUUGAGCGUAGUUGAAGUUAGUUGUCCCAGGUCUGGUAGGUAGUGGAUUGGCACCAGCAAUUGUUUUAUUUUUUUAUAUGCAUCUAACAUUGCGCUGUUGGUUACAAUGUCAACCCUGUACUUUAACUGUUUCCUUGUUAAUGAACACAUUUGCACAAUGUCCCUAAACUUAAGUAAUUGGUGUCCUUCAGCACUUUUUGCAGAGGUCUUUUGUUGUAGAAUUGGUCUGAAAUUGCAUUCCAAGUGGCAUUUAAAGUAUUAAUAAAGUCUUGCUGUCUUGCUGAAACCUGCCAGACCCACUAACACACACCCACAUCUACAGCAGCUGCAUCACUUUUCGCGACAUGGCCUGAAACUCAGUAGCGUGCCGUGGUUCUGGGGCCUGGGCCUUCAGUGAAGUCCUACACAGUCCCACCCGAAUUAAUCCACCUCUUAUUACCAUCAUUAUGAUGCCAUGGCUCUAGACACUAUACAUUUAGACAGAAACGCAGUAUAACCAGGCGUUGCGUCACCUUGAAAUUUACAUUUUUAUUCAGAGAAUUGCAAGGGAAGAGUACAUAACCUUUUCAUUGUGCAGCUUCGUUGCCCUGCGCGCUUGUUCGUUGAGCUGUAGAUCCACUCGGGUGUCCCCAAAAGUUUUCAAAAGCACCAUUGUUUGUAAGUGCCCAGCCGUACUUUGGUGUCUCAUUGCUGCCUUGGUUAGACAACUCAGGUUUGCAAAGCCAGUGUGGCUCCAAACACCAAAUUGAUCACUUGCAAAUAAUAGGCAUUCCCAGCAGUACAGUUUGCAGUGCUUCUCGGAGCCUGUCUUUGAAGCGUCGCCUUUGUAGCGUCGGCGUCUACCUCUCCUGACAAUGUCUAACUUUUCUUGAAAAGUUUGUCUUGAGAAUGGCGUUAUAAUUAUAUCCUCGACCAAAUCGAUAUCUUCUCCUUCCGCCAUUGUGGGUUGAAAAAACAGUUUAGUAGUACGCGAAUUAAUUCGUUGAUCAAUUUCAGUUUCCUAGUUCUGAGACCUGCCCAUAUAGGACCUGCCUCUCAAUAUUGGUAAUCCAAUCAAAAGACGUGCAGGCACUACACCUGCUUGCUGGCUCCUGUGUAACACUGGAGCCAGCCAGCAGGUGUACAUUAGCCAACUCUAAAGCUGAUUGGUUGACACAAAAUUUUAAUUUGCAUUCACUUUAAGCUACAAACGCCCGCACUGUUGAUUCUGAAGGCCUGAGGGCAGAUUUUAGACCCCUGGCAACACAUGAUGGCUGAAUAUGAUAGAUAUUUUAUCCAAACAUAAAGACCAGCCCUCCAAAUCUCAACCUGGGGCUGGAAGCAGUGCAACCAAGAGGAACGCUAUGAAAUGAAGAGUGUAACUCUUACUCUGGGGAAUAAUUUAAUACAUAUUUGUGGGAAAAUAUAUUUAAAAAAAAAUUAGAUUCUGAUGAUGUUUAGGCCAGCAGAGAAGGCCUUGCUGGCCCUGACGGCCCACCACUGCUGAAACUGCACCAUUUUGUGUCUCCAUAGCCCACGCACUUUCAAUAUUUAAAUAAUAAAUAAUUAGAAUUUUCCUGUGUUAAUGAUGGCGGAUUUGAUUGAUUUCAUUUUUUUCAAGAUGAGUGAUUAGAAAAGAAUUGUCCAACCCAUCGGGUUGCCAUGUCUUGAAAUAUGCAGACAGAUGGAUUAAAAGUAUGUUUACAUUUGUAAUACUUCUGGCAGCCAUCUUUCUAUUUCCGCCCACAAUUUCUGGACUUUACAGCAUUCCCAGAAAGCAUUAAUUAUUGAGUAAUUAAUAAUUUUACACUGAAGACAUGACUCUGCUGUUGUGCUGUAGAAUUUGUAAAUUUUGUCACUUGUAUAAUAGGUUAGUUUAUACUGGAUUGAGCAUACAUUUCCUUUAACUGUAAUUUCGUUAGUUAUGCUCUUUCCCUCCAUCUUUUGCCAACAUCAGUUAUUUUUAAGUCUUGGUUAAGAUUAAGAUUUGCCAGUUGGAUAUGCUCUCUGAAAAGGUUUUGUACAUCUUCCCUCUAUGAACAUCCUUUUCUGACUCAAAUAAGAUUCCCUCAAGGUUGCUCUGAUAUCCAAAAUAUUUUAAAUUGAUGUUGCAUGAUAAGUAACUUUUUUAAAGUUGAUUGUAUACUUCAGUCUAACAUUACUUUUAAAGUAUGUCAUGGAAAUAAAGGUAUUUCCUGUUACCAA